UACGUAGGGUGCAAGCGUUGUCCGGAAUUAUUGGGCGUAAAGAGCUCGUAGGCGGUUUGUCGCGUCUGCUGUGAAAAUCCAGGGCUUAACCCUGGACCUGCAGUGGGUACGGGCAGACUGGAGUGCGGUAGGGGAGAUCGGAAUUCCUGGUGUAGCGGUGAAAUGCGCAGAUAUCAGGAGGAACACCGGUGGCGAAGGCGGAUCUCUGGGCCACUACUGACGCUGAGAAGCGAAAGCAUGGGGAGCGAACAGG
rnacentral:rRNA from 1 species